UACAGAGGGUGCAAGCGUUAAUCGGAAUUACUGGGCGUAAAGCGCGCGUAGGUGGUUUGUUAAGUUGGAUGUGAAAUCCCCGGGCUCAACCUGGGAACUGCAUUCAAAACUGACAAGCUAGAGUAUGGUAGAGGGUGGUGGAAUUUCCUGUGUAGCGGUGAAAUGCGUAGAUAUAGGAAGGAACAUCAGUGGCGAAGGCGACUGCCUGGCCCAAGACUGACGCUGAGGCACGAAAGCGUGGGUAGCAAACA
rnacentral:rRNA from 1 species